rnacentral:lncRNA from 1 species
CGUGGUUGGUCAGCUUAUUGACCACAGCAAGAGGAAUUGCUGUCUUGGCGCUCAAAUCUGCAGUGGAGCUCUUGUCGAAGCAAAUGGCUACCUGCAGUGCGAGCAAGUGGUCCCUUAUCACCAAACCAAUCCAAAAGAAGAGAGUUUCAUGCGAGGAGGUGCAAUUGCAGGCACUAGAGUUGGGUAUUGUAGGUCUGGAGAGUUCAGUCGAGAACCUUUUCAGAAAUUUGAUCCAAACAAGGGUUUCUCUUCUGAACACUCUCAGCUCGUAGAUUCUCCGCUGGUGCACUGCGAUUGACAUCCAAAUUUUAUAGGACCUGUCAAUCAGCAUGAAAUUUUGUACACCAAAUGUAUACAGCUCUAAAGAUAUAGCAGUAGAUUAAAGACAUGGUUCUAUUAUCUCGAAAAAGAAAUUCCAUAGUUCCUGUGUGUUAUCACUCACUUUUGCUGCCAAUCGGUUUAAUGGACUUCAUUUUUUAAUUUAACUAGCCUGGAGGCUAGGGAUGCAAGUUUGGUCUUCUCUAGGUCAUUGGGUCGACACAAAAUUCAACCAAAAGAAUUAAUCCGGAUUUCAAAGCAAGAAAAGUGGAAAGAAAUGAACCAAGGGAGUGACCCACAACUACCAUUGGGUACCCACUUGUAUCCCUACUAGUGGCCCCCAUUUGAAAAACAAGUGCUGUCUCUAUGUAUUAUGUACAAUCAGAAUUUAUCAAAACUGAAACAACCAAAUGAAUUUACCUUAGCCGUGAUUGCUUGUUCCCUAGAAAAAACAAAUCACACAGUAUAACCUUAGUAUU